rnacentral:tRNA from 1 species
GGCAACCUGGCCGAGUGGUCUAAGGCGCCAGGUUCAGGUCCUGGUCUCUUCGGAGGCGAGAGUUCGAAUCUCUCGGUGAUGGUAAGUCA